rnacentral:lncRNA from 10 species
GAGCCUUGGACGGGGAAGCGGAAAAGGCUUAGCAGCUACUAAUGGGUUCUAUUAAUAGUAGUAGUGUUAGAAGCUGACAAUGACUGUUGGGCUUUUCCAAUGAAUACCAGAACACCAUUUCCUGCAGCCUGAAAAGAAGACAGUAUAAUUGUUUGGCAGCAAGAGAAUCCAGGUGCCCUUCCAUGAGAAGCCCAAGCCAUGUGGAGAAGCCACGUCUAGGGACUCCAGUUAACACUCUCAGCUGAGUCCCCAGCUGACAGUCAGCAUCAACUGCCAGCCACCUCUGUCUAAAAGUGGGCUAUCUUGGGCAUCCAGCCCAGUCAAGCCUUCAGAUGAGUCCAGUCCCAGCCACUAUCUCACACAACCACACGAGAGACAUCAAGAACUCCCAGUGGAGUCCAGUCAGCCCAUGGAACUGCAAGAGACAGGAUCUCGCUGCGUUGCUCAGACUGGUCUCGAACUCCUGGGCUUAAGGGAUUCUCCUGCCUCAAUCACAGCCUCCCAAGUAGCUGAGAUUAAAAGUGCUCACCACCGUGCCAGCGAGUUCAGUUUUUGAGGUAAAAACAAGUGCACUCAAAAAGAAAAACACUGACAAAUGUGUUAGAGUGGAGCAUAUUCCAAAUAAGAAUCACAAGCCUCGAAGAGGGGCUUCUGGAGAGUUCAGAGACUUACAGGCUAAAGAUGACAGACCUCGAAGUGAGCCAGACCCACUGUGUACAGAGGCUGGAUUUGGUCAGGCAGUUUCUUGGGACUCAAAAGAAGUAGAAUCAAACCAGAAACAAAAGAACAAAA